rnacentral:rRNA from 1 species
GUAGGGUGCGAGCGUUAAUCGGAAUUACUGGGCGUAAAGCGUGCGCAGGCGGUUUAGUAAGACAGGCAUGAAAUCCCCGGGCUCAACCUGGGAACUGCGCUUGUGACUGCUAAGCUAGAGUACGGCAGAGGGGGUGGAAUUCCACGUGUAGCAGUGAAAUGCGUAGAGAUGUGGAGGAACACCAAUGGCGAAGGCAGCCCCCUGGGUCGAUACUGACGCUCAUGCACGAAAGCGUGGGUAGCAAACAGGAUUAGAUACCCUGGUAGUCCACGCCCUAAACGAUGUCAACUAGGUGUUGGGAGGGUAAAACCUUUUAGUACCGGAGCUAACGCGUGAAGUUGACCGCCUGGGGAGUACGGCCGCAAGGUUA